UCGGCCGACGAGUUGGCACGCCCCGCAUACAACCGAAUGACGUAGUUAGCUUACUAAUUACUUGGCCUGCGCGCCACAUAGGUUUGGUAGUUUUUAAGGUCAACAAAUAGUAAGAACGAAACCAAUAAUACGAAAAAGAAACGGUUUUGAAAACUGACAUUAUGAAGUGAUAGAGGCUCGCAAAUUGUUGCAAUGUCCUUUAUAGACAAAAUUUCGCCUCUACUUAAGUGCUUGUAGUCCUUCUAGGCGUUGACCACCGAAUUACUCUAUCAAUCCAAGUUCCUAGUACUAGGAAGUUUAAUCUGGCGAACGUACAAGUACUUCUCUCAAGAAAAAUAUAGUAGAGUGAUAGAGAAAAGAUUGGGUGUUUCUUUGUUGUGUUUUUUACUUUGGGGAGGCAGCGAAUAUAGACUUGAAGACACCCUUUUUGAGCAGAUAUAAAACUGCCAAGAGCAGUUGUGUCGUUUGCAUGAAACCCUUCCAACGACUCAAACCUCUACACUAGGUUGAAUUUUGAUUUGAUCGUCUAGAUUACUAUUGUGGAACUUGUAAAAUAUCAUGUUAUGGAGAAUUAACUUUUGUAAUCUUUCAAUAAUCUUGGGUUCAUGAUAUAUUUUGAUCUCAAUGUCAGUUUUUCUUUAAAGAAACGGAUUACAUGUUUGAUGAAAUGCAUUGAGAGUUUGUGUGUUGAAACUUCUCCCGUUAAGGCAAAAU
rnacentral:lncRNA from 1 species